UGCCUCAGUAACGGCGAGUGAAGCGGCAAAAGCUCAAAUUUGAAAUCUGCGUAAGCCGAGUUGUAAUUUGAAGAUGGCUACGUUGGUAAUGGCUCUUGUCUAUGUUCCUUGGAACAGGACGUCACAGAGGGUGAGAAUCCCGUGCGAUGAGAUGUCCAUUACCGUGUAAAGUGCUUUCGAAGAGUCGAGUUGUUUGGGAAUGCAGCUCUAAGUGGGUGGUAAAUUCCAUCUAAAGCUAAAUAUUGGCGAGAGACCGAUAGCGAACAAGUACAGUGAUGGAAAGAUGAAAAGAACUUUGAAAAGAGAGUGAAAAAGUACGUGAAAUUGUUGAAAGGGAAGGGCUUGAGAUCAGACUUGGUAUUUUGUAUGGCUUGCUUUCGGGCGGGUCCUCUGCAGUUUACUGGGCCAGCAUCGGUUUGGGUGGCAGGAUAAUAGCAUAGGAAUGUGGCUCUACUUCGGUGGAGUGUUAUAGCCUUUGUUGAUACUGCCUGCCUAGACCGAGGACUGCGUCUUUUGACUAGGAUGCUGGCAUAAUGAUCCUAAGCCGCCCGUCUUGAAACA
rnacentral:rRNA from 1 species